rnacentral:lncRNA from 1 species
GGGCGCUGUGCGGGGCGGGGGCGCUGGUCCUCCCUUCCUGGGGAGGGAGGAAAAGAGAGUGAGAAAAGCAAGUCGCAGCCGGCUUGGGCCGGUGUUGCGGUGGUGCGUGCGUGACGCUGAGGCUGCGAGGGCUUCCUCACCUGCUUCCAACUGACCAAGUGUGAAGCGAGGUGUGAACAGGCCUCUGACAGAGCCCGCGUCCACAGACUGCGCCGGGGAGCGGCCUGGAGGGGAGGGGCCUGCCCUCGGAAGGACCCUGUGGAGGAGCCCGCGCUGGCUGAGGGAAUGAAGUUGAGUAACUGGGAUCCUAGAAGAGGGCCUGGUGUGAAAAAUUGGAAGACCAGAGCUGAGAGACAGAGUCCUAGCCAGAGGCAUUUACAUUCAAUGAGCCUGAAGCUGUUAGUUCCAAGGAGAGCAAGCUAAGCUCUCCUCAGUAGGAGAAUGCAGCAUGGAAUACCAGCAGAAGAAGCAGGAGAGACCAGUUCUGCGAGGUACCAGAGGAAUGUAUGAGUUAUGAGUUGCUUGGGGUGUGUGAUAUAUCAGCCUUUUAGUUUAGAAUGACCAGCAGUGGGGUAGAUAAACCCCAUACUCCCUUUCCUGUUUCCAAGAUGUAUUUUACUCCCUAAGGGUUUUAAUCACAAAAGGGACCAGAAAAUGUCUUCCUUCUUUGGAAGGGGAAGAAAAGCCCAUGAACAGAGUUAAAAGGUGAGUCCUGUCCUUCAGAAGAGGAGUAGAGAUCGUACACCUAGAAGUGCCUUGCACACUCAGCAACACCUAUAUGCGGGUAGGUAAGUAUUACCUCCUUUGCUCCCUCUGACAGUGCGGUGCAGUGAAAAGAGGGCUGGCUUCAUAGGUGAGCAUAACGGGAUUUGAAUCUUGACUCCAGCAGUGAUUGACCUGAGCCCACUUGCGUCAUCCAUAAAGUGCAGAUGAUAAAUCCUCUUCUCCUUAGGUGGUUUGGAGAACCAAAGGACAUAACAUAUUUGUAAAGAGGGUCUAACACAGCCCCUGGUGUGCGGGAGAUGCUUAGCACAUCCCUUCUCCUCAGGGAGGAGCAGCCUCUAAUGGGAAUCCACAGAGGCUGGCCGCAGAGACAUGUCAGCAGUCUGUC